ensembl:lncRNA
UCAGCCCUUCAUAACCGGCGUGGCCCUUCAGCAGGGCGCUCUUCCCGGAAAAAAAAAGAAAAGAAAAAAAAAAGCACCGUUUGCGAAUACCAAUGCUUACCGUUCCGUUUUCCGGUUGCUUUCUAGCUUACUCCUGCGAGGAGGGGCCCCCGGGAAACCUCACUUUCUACUUAUGGGUCGUACCGGAGAGCACAGGGGUGGAUUUCGGCCUCUCUUUCCUGGGGGGAGGGGGCUGCGGUUUCCCUUUUUUGUGCCUUUUCUUCGGAAACACCCAGGCGGAAAGCCCUGCCGCUCUCAUAACCAGCGGUUGCUAAGGCAGCAAGGUGGCCUCACAGUUGUACGGCGGUAGCCUGAUGUAAAAUGCACCCUGAAGGGACGGUUGCUCCCCCGGUCGACGCUGUCUCUUGGCUUGAUGGCUCAUCAGCAAAGUGCUUUCCAUUGUCUCCCAUGAUGUGUCAAAUAUGUCUGCCGAAAGAGCAUCCUCGCUUCACCUCUGCCUCUGGAAACCUGCUUCACUUCUGGAAUGGACCACUGUUCAUCUAUUCAGCAUUUUUUUAAAAAAAUGUUGUGGCGUCGUCUUCAGGAAAAAGGACACAGGAAUGCAUUUGUGUGUUAUUCUUUGCAAAGGUGGUAUCAAUGUUUGAACGUGAAAGAUGAGAAAGGUGAAGUUCUUUUCGUAACAGCUCUCAAGAGAAACAUCAGUGUACUAUGGCAGGCUCCUCUCAGCUUUAUAAGAAAAGUACAUUCCCUCCACUUUUGGAGUCUUACUUACCUCUGAAUUGCCAGAAUCAGGGCAAAGAUGGUUAAGAGGGCAGUGAUAUAUGUCUGAUAUCCUUCCACCCUACUCCUUUUUCUUUGACUUCAUAUUCACUCACAAAAUCUCAAUAGGUUUUGGACACAAGUUCAAAUAUGAGUACAAAUUCCUUUCAGGUGUUUUCAUGGAAUGGAAGGAUUUGAGAAAAGGAAAGUGCAUGGCGAACAGAGCAAAUUGGCAAAAACCAGAAAGAAACAAAAAGGAGCAGAUAAGGAACAACAGCCACAUUUUAAGUGAGGAAGAAAAGGAUAAACUCCUUAAGCAAGCUCUGCUUGAAAAGCAUCAUCUUGAAACCUACAAGAAUCUUUAUAAGAUAAGAAAUAUCUUAUAUGAACGCUACAAGACUUUAUUGAAUGAGAAAGUGCUAAAGCAACGAAUUCAGAUCAAGGCAUUUGAUCUGAAAGAUCAACAACUUAAGCACAAAGAACAAAAGUACACCCUUCGUCGUAAACUUCCUUUCUGCAAGCUGUCGCAUGAUACGAAGUACUUGGAGUCCGUGUCACAGUCAAACAGCUACUGGGUUACUGGAUUGCACAAUGAACUAACUAAACUUGGAAUCAUAAAGAACCAGCAAGAUUAUGAAAACUUUUGGAAAUUUGCUUGGGAGGAUAUUCCUGGCCCAAAGAUCAAGGAGAAGCUUCCUGAUAUAAAAGCAAGAAGCUGAGUAUCUUCAUAAUUUCUGGAAAUUAGAAUAAGAUUCAUCUCUACAGGAAAAGCAGACACCUAUUUUAUUUAUUCUUUCACUAGCCAAUAUUUUAAAUAAGGAAAUUGCUCCCUAGAAGAUCUUGUGAGCAUUUAUAAUCCUUAAAAUGCAAGAUUAAAACCAAGUUAAAUAAAUAAUAAAUUAAUUUGAAAUGCACAUAAUCUCACCAGCAAAGUGGCACCUACGAGAUGAGAAAUAUGGGUUGGACUAUAGAUACUAGCAAUUUCAUUUGUCCAAGUCACGCCAUCUUCCUUACUCUAUACCAAGGAUCUUCAAACUUGGCAAGUUUAAGACUUGUGGACUUCCUCAGCUAACAUGACUAGAGGAGGAAUUCUGGGAGUUGAAGACCACAAGUCUUAAAGCUGUCAAAUUUGAAGACCCCUGCUCUAUACAUAGACACAGCCAUGAGGAAAGCCCUGAAAUAUGCUCACUUCACUCAUCUUUGUCGGAAUUUUCUCAAAAUUUUCCCCCUCGAGAUGCAUUUACUUUAUAUCUUUUUUAUUUGAUUGAUUGAAUCUUAUGAUCAUCUAUCUCAAAAUAACAAGCAGACAAACAAUAAUAAACAGUAAAAAACUUACACUAGUUACCAAGAGAAAACCUAAAGAGAACAAUCAACAAAAUUCUUCCAUGAACCAACUAGCCUUCUUCAACACUUCACAAAAGGUCAGCAUGUUGAGGACUAAUCUAAUCUCUGGUUCUCAGAAAGCAGGUGGUAUGACAGAAAAUGCAUACUUCUUAAGUCCCAACAAUUGGGACUAAUUGAAAAACACAAUUAGUGAAAUUUGUAAUAAAACAGUUGUAUUAUCGGAAAUGUUCAGUUGAUAAAUUUUGUUUCAGCUGAUGAAAAUAAAUUUAGUUAUGCUAUUUAUGUCUGA